rnacentral:lncRNA from 1 species
CAUGAAUCUCCUUGUAUAUCUUCAUCACAGCUCUUGGAUGACUAGGUAUACUAUAAAAAAGAAAGCUGGGACUUAAAAGAAAAGUAGAUGUAAAUGCCUUGCCCAAUGUCACUCGGAGGAGCCUGAUCCCAAGUUUUCUAACUCAAGUUUAGUGUUCUUUCUGCUGCCCUAUUUUGCCACUUCAUCACUUGCAGCAUGCAUGCCUGUUUCAUCUAGUUCUUUUUAAAGCUUUUGCUAUCUGGAAAAUAAAUUAUUUUUAAAAUAGUGGGGUUUUUUAAUGUGGUUUUUGUUUUUUGCUUUUUUUAUUUUUUACCCUGACACAAUUCAG